UAAUACGGAGGGUGCGAGCGUUGUCCGGAAUCAUUGGGCGUAAAGGGCGCGUAGGUGGCCCGCUCAGCGUGCGGUGAAAGCCUGGGGCUCAACCCCGGGUCGGCCGUGCGAACUGGUGGGCUCGAGCACUGUAGAGGCAGGCGGAAUUCCGGGUGUAGCGGUGGAAUGCGUAGAGAUCCGGAAGAACACCGGUGGCGAAGGCGGCCUGCUGGGCAGUAGCUGACACUGAGGCGCGACAGCGUGGGGAGCAAACAGGAUUAGAUACCCUGGUAGUCCACGCCGUAAACGAUGGGCACUAGGCGCUUGGGGGAGCGACCCCUCGAGGGCCGUAGCUAACGCAUUAAGUGCCCCGCCUGGGGAGUACGGCCGCAAGGCUG
rnacentral:rRNA from 1 species